rnacentral:tRNA from 1 species
GCUCCAGUAGCUUACACCCCAAAGCAUUGUUCUUGUAAACCAAAGACGGGUCACACCCCUGGAACA